rnacentral:rRNA from 1 species
AUUGAACGCUGGCGGCAUGCUUUACACAUGCAAGUCGAACGGUAACAGGCCGCAAGGUGCUGACGAGUGGCGAACGGGUGAGUAAUGCAUCGGAACGUGCCCAGUCGUGGGGGAUAACUACUCGAAAGAGUAGCUAAUACCGCAUACGAUCUAUGGAUGAAAGCGGGGGACCGUAAGGCCUCGCGCGAUUGGAGCGGCCGAUGUCAGAUUAGGUAGUUGGUGGGGUAAAGGCUCACCAAGCCAACGAUCUGUAGCUGGUCUGAGAGGACGACCAGCCACACUGAGACUGAGACACGGCCCAGACUCCUACGGGAGGCAGCAGUGGGGAAUUUUGGACAAUGGGCGCAAGCCUGAUCCAGCAAUGCCGCGUGCAGGAAGAAGGCCUUCGGGUUGUAAACUGCUUUUGUACGGAACGAAACGGCUCUGGUUAAUACCCGGGGCUAAUGACGGUACCGUAAGAAUAAGCACCGGCUAACUACGUG